rnacentral:rRNA from 1 species
UGGGGAAUAUUGGACAAUGGGCGCAAGCCUGAUCCAGCCAUGCCGCGUGAGUGAAGAAGGCCUUCGGGUUGUAAAGCUCUUUUACCAGGGACGAUAAUGACGGUACCUGGAGAAUAAGCCCCGGCAAACUUCGUGCCAGCAGCCGCGGUAAUACGAAGGGGGCUAGCGUUGUUCGGAAUUACUGGGCGUAAAGCGCACGUAGGCGGAUUGUUAAGUCAGAGGUGAAAUCCCGGAGCUCAACUUCGGAACUGCCUUUGAUACUGGCAAUCUAGAGUCCGGAAGAGGUUAGUGGAAUUCCCAGUGUAGAGGUGAAAUUCGUAGAUAUUGGGUGGAACACCAGUGGCGAAGGCGACUCGCUGGACUGAUACUGACGCUGAGGUGCGAAAGCGUGGGGAGCAAACAGGAUUAGAUACCCUAGUAGUCCCUGAGCGGGCUGGCAAGGCGCAU